rnacentral:rRNA from 1 species
GAUGAACGCUGGCGGCGUGCCUAAUACAUGCGAGUCGAGCGAACAGACGAGGAGCUUGCUCCUCUGACGUUAGCGGCGGACGGGUGAGUAACACGUGGAUAACCUACCUAUAAGACUGGGAUAACUUCGGGAAACCGGAGCUAAUACCGGAUAAUAUAUUGAACCGCAUGGUUCACUAGUGAAAGACGGUUUUGCUGUCACUUAUAGAUGGAUCCGCGCCGCAUUAGCUAGUUGGUAAGGUAACGGCUUACCAAGGCAACGAUGCGUAGCCGACCUGAGAGGGUGAUCGGCCACACUGGAACUGAGACACGGUCCAGACUCCUACGGGAGGCAGCAGUAGGGAAUCUUCCGCAAUGGGCGAAAGCCUGACGGAGCAACGCCGCGUGAGUGAUGAAGGUCUUCGGAUCGUAAAACUCUGUUAUUAGGGAAGAACAAAUGUGUAAGUAACUAUGCACGUCUUGACGGUACCUAAUCAGAAAGCCACGGCUAACUACGUG